GAUGAACGCUGGCGGCGUGCCUAAUACAUGCAAGUCGAGCGAACGGACGAGAAGCUUGCUUUUCUGAUGUUAGCGGCGGACGGGUGAGUAACACGUGGAUAACCUACCUAUAAGACUGGGAUAACUUCGGGAAACCGGAGCUAAUACCGGAUAAUAUUUUGAACCGCAUGGUUCAAAAGUGAAAGACGGUCUUGCUGUCACUUAUAGAUGGAUCCGGGCUGCGUUAGCUAGUUGGUAAGGUAACGGCUUACCAAGGCAAGGAUGCAUAGCCGACGUGAGAGGGUGGUAGCCCACACUGGAACGGAGCCACGGUCCAGGCUCCUACGGGAGGCAGCAGUAGCGUAUCUUCCGCAGUGGGCGGAAGCCUGACGGAGCAACGCCACGUGAGUUGUGACGGUCUUCCGAUCGUAAAACUCUGUUAUUAGGGAAGAACAUAUGUGUAAGUAGCUGUGCACAUCUUGACGGUACCUAGUCAGAAAGCCACGGCUAACUACGUG
rnacentral:rRNA from 1 species